rnacentral:sRNA from 1 species
GGGACAGGCCUUUCAGGCAUCCUCUCCCAAACUUUCAAAGGGCCAUCCGGCAACGGGUGGCCCCUUUUUUUGGUCCGG